AAGAUAGUUGGAGGAAUGAGUAGGCAGAAAAAACAAGCACUCUGGUAAAAGGGAUUGCGGACUUUGAUUUUCUGCUUUCGAGUGCAGCCAUGGCUUUAUCUCUACCUACUCAUUCUUCUCGCUCCCUCCUCCCUCUUCCACCAUCCACCAAACCCACUUUCCCCACCCUCCGCCGCCUCAACCACCGCCUUUCACUCGUCACUGCUUCCAUUCCCCUGCUCCAAGUCAAUGACCUUAGAGCCAAGAUCGUCGAGUCCAACGUCCAGAUUCUCCACGGCGUUAACCUCACCGUUAACCAAGGAGAGGUCCACGCCAUCAUGGGAAAAAAUGGCUCUGGAAAAAGUACUUUCGCCAAGGUUCUAGUGGGGCACCCCGAUUAUGAAGUUACUGGAGGCAGUGUUGUAUUCAAAGGGGAGAAUUUGCUUGAAAUGGAACCCGAAGAAAGGUCUCUUUCGGGUCUCUUCAUGAGUUUCCAGUCCCCCGUUGAAAUUCCUGGUGUUUCCAAUGAUGAGUUUCUUAGAAUGGCCUACAAUGCUCGAAGGAAAAAGCUUGGUCUACCUGAGCUUGGACCACUCGAGUGUAUUGAAUACCUGAUGAAAAAGCUUAAGCUUGUUAAUAUGAAGACUGAUUUUCUCAAUAGGAAUGUGAAUGAAGGGUUUAGUGGCGGUGAACGCAAACGCAAUGAAAUCUUGCAGCUUGCAGUUUUGGGGGCGGAUUUGGCUAUUUUGGAUGAGAUUGACUCUGGGUUGGAUGUUGAUGCGCUUAAGGAUGUUGCCAGUGCCGUUAAUCAGAUUCUUACCCCACAAAAUUCUUUGAUGAUGAUAACUCAUUAUAGACGGAUUCUGGAUCUUUUGAAACCUACACAUGUCCAUGUUAUGGACAAAGGGAAAAUUGCAAGAUCAGGUGACAUAUCGAUGGUAGAAACUAUUGAGGCAGAGGGAUAUGAAACUGUCUCCACUUCAACAUAAUACAGUGUGUAUCGAUAUGCCAUUCUCGGUAAGAUAAGAAAAUCUUUAAAUGUUGAAUUUCAGUGCAUCUACAUUAGUCUCAAUCAAAUAUCAUCAGUUCUUGUAAGGAGCAGAAAAAUAUUUUCAACGCAGAUGUGAGUUCGGGUGCACUACCAGAUAUGUAUGCAGUUGCAGUAAUGUUUUGAUUGCUCCUUUCAUCUUUCUAGUAUCCAUUUUCAAAAUGAGGAAGCUUCUUGACUUGACUUGGGGACAUAUUUCCGUAGGCUUUGGUAUAGAAAUUUCGAAACUAUUGAAUGGGAGGUUUUGAAGUUAUGCUUUCGCUUUUGUUUUAGAUUUGAGCACUUUUGAAAUGUUAAAUACCUACUUUAGGAUCACACAGCCAAUAAGGAUUCUAACAUAUGUCAAUCAACGUUAAAUGUUAGCCAAAUUUUAGUUCCGGUAUUUGCAGUUUACCUGUUUUCUUUUUGGUGGGCAUAUUAAAGAACUUAAAUUAUUGACAAGUUUCAUCAACAUGCCCUUUUUAAAAGCUGGAAUAAAACAGGGUAAAAUGUAGCGUA